AGAGUUUGAUCCCGGCUCAGGACGAACGCUGGCGGCACGCUUAACACAUGCAAGUCGAACGGAGAACAUUGAGCUUGCUUAAUGUUCUUAGUGGCGGACGGGUGAGUAACACGUGAGUAACCUGCCUCUGAGAGUGGGAUAGCUUCUGGAAACGGAUGGUAAUACCGCAUAACAUCAUGGAUUCGCAUGUUUCUAUGAUCAAAGAAUUAUCGCUCAGAGAUGGACUCGCGUCUGAUUAGCUAGUUGGUAAGGUAACGGCUUACCAAGGCGACGAUCAGUAGCCGGACUGAGAGGUUGAUCGGCCACAUUGGGACUGAGACACGGCCCAGACUCCUACGGGAGGCAGCAGUGGGGAAUAUUGCACAAUGGGGGAAACCCUGAUGCAGCGAUGCCGCGUGGAGGAAGAAGGUUUUCGGAUUGUAAACUCCUGUCGAAGAGGACGAUAAUGACGGUACUCUUCAAGAAAGCUCCGGCUAACUACGUGCCAGCAGCCGCGGUAAUACGUAGGGAGCGAGCGUUGUCCGGAAUUACUGGGUGUAAAGGGAGCGUAGGCGGGAUGGCAAGUCAGAUGUGAAAACUAUGGGCUCAACCCAUAGACUGCAUUUGAAACUGCUGUUCUUGAGUGAGGUAGAGGUAAGCGGAAUUCCUGGUGUAGCGGUGAAAUGCGUAGAGAUCAGGAGGAACAUCGGUGGCGAAGGCGGCUUACUGGGCCUUUACUGACGCUGAGGCUCGAAAGCGUGGGGAGCAAACAGGAUUAGAUACCCUGGUAGU
rnacentral:rRNA from 1 species